CGGAACUAGAAAUAGUUUAGUGGCGGACGGGUGAGUAACACGUGGGAAUCUGGCUUUAGGUUCGGGACAACCACUGGAAACGGUGGCUAAUACCGGAUGUGCCUUAAUUGGUAAAAGGUUAACCGCCUGAAGAUGAGCUCGCGUCUGAUUAGCUAGUUGGUGUGGUAAGAGCGCACCAAGGCGACGAUCAGUAGCUGGUCUGAGAGGAUGAUCAGCCACACUGGGACUGAGACACGGCCCAGACUCCUACGGGAGGCAGCAGUGGGGAAUUUUCCGCAAUGAGCGAAAGCCUGACGGAGCAAGACCGCGUGAGGGAGGAAGGCUCUUGGGUCGUAAACCUCUUUUCUCUGGGAAUAAGAAAGUGAAGGUACCAGAGGAAUCAGCAUCGGCUAACUCCGUGCCAGCAGCCGCGGUAAUACGGAGGAUGCAAGCGUUAUCCGGAAUGAUUGGGCGUAAAGAGUCCGUAGGUGGUUAUUCAAGUCGAUUGUUAAAGAGCAAAGCUUAACUUUGUAGAAGCAGUGGAAACUGAAUAACUAGAGAGAGGUAGGGGUAGAGGGAAUUCCCGGUGUAGCGGUGAAAUGCGUAGAGAUCGGGAAGAACACCAGUGGCGAAGGCGCUCUACUGGGCCUCAUCUGACACUCAGGGAC
rnacentral:rRNA from 1 species